UGCCAAUUAGCUAGCCCCCCCCCCCAAACACAACAAUCAGAUAUUAAUACCCCCUAAUAAACCUUAAAACUCUUGACUAAACCAUUUUUCCCCCAAAGUAUGGGAGACAGAAAAGGAGACCGGAGCGACAGCAAAAGUACCGCAAGGGAACGCUGAAAGAGAAAUGAAACAACUCAGUAAAGCACAGAAAAGCAGAGCCUAGCCCUUGUACCUUUUGCAUCAUGGCUUAGCAAGAAAGCAUCAAGCAAAAAGCAUUUUAGUUUGACUCCCCGAAACCUGGUGAGCUACUCCAAGACAGCCUUAAAUAGGGCACACCCGUCUCUGUUGCAAAAGAGUGGGAAGAUCUUUGAGUAGAGGUGACAGACCUAUCGAGCCUGGUUAUAGCUGGUUGCUCAGGAAAUGAAUAGGAGUUCAGCCGUUUUACAUCUUUACUUCAGCCACAACCCCCAGAAUUUUUUCUGCCGAGGUAAUAAAGAAUAACAAACGAGUUAGUCAAAGGGGGUACAGCCCCUUUGAACCAAGAGACAACUUUCCCAGAAGGGUAAAGAUCAAACAUCGCCCAAGGACAGUGAAGUAGUUGGCCUAGAAGCAGCCACCCGCAUAGAAAGCGUUAAAGCUCAGACACCUUCUUCCCCAUAAUACUGACCACCCCAUCUUACCCCCCUAAGUAUACUGAGCCCUCCCAUCCUACCAUGGGAAAGACCAUGCUAACAUGAGUAACAAGAGAUCAAAGAAUCUCUCCCUGCACAAGUGUACAUCGGAACGAACCCGCACCGAAAAUUAACGGCCCCAAAUGACGAGGGCACCGGAACAUUAUGGCAGCUCACAAGAAAACCAUCCCCACCCCACCGUUAACCUUACACUAGCGCGCAUGAAGGGAAAGACUAAAAGAAGGAGAAGGAACUCGGCA
rnacentral:rRNA from 1 species